GACGAACGCUGGCGGCGUGCUUAAUACAUGCAAGUCGAACGGAAAGGCCCUGCUCUUGUGGGGUGCUCGAUUGGCGAACGGGUGAGUAACACGCGAGUAACCUGCCCUUGACUUUGGGAUAACUUCUGGAAACUGGGGCUAAUACCGGAUAGGAUCUCCUGCUGCACGGUGGGGGUUGGAGAGUUUCGGCGGUUGUGGAUGGACUCGCGGCUUAUCAGCUUGUUGGUGGGGUAGUGGCUUACCAAGGCUUUGACGGGUAGCCGGCCUGAGAGGGUUACCGGCCACAUUGGGACUGAGAUACGGCCCAGACUGCUACGGGAGGCAGCAGUGGGGAGUAUUGCACAAUGGGCGGAAGCCUGAUGCAGAGGCGCCGCGUGCGGGAUGACGGCCUUCGGGUUAUAAACCGCUUUCGCCGGUGACGAAGCGGGAGUGACGGUAAUGGGUAAAGAAGCACCGGGUAACUACGUG
rnacentral:rRNA from 1 species